GAUGAACGCUGGCGGCGCGCCUAACACAUGCAAGUCGAACGAUUAAAGCACCUUUUAGGUGUGUAUAAAGUGGCGAACGGCUGAGUAACACGUGGGCAACCUGCCCUCCUCUUGGGGAUAGCCUCGGGAAACCGAGGAUAAUACCCGAUACUUCACUUGAGCCGCAUGACUCAAGUGAGAAAGCUUUUGCGGAGAAGGAUGGGCCCGCGGCCUGUUAGCUUGUUGGUGGGGUAGAGGCCUACCAAGGCAAUGAUGGGUAGCUGGGUUGAGAGACCGACCAGCCAGAUCGGGACUGAGACACGGCCCAGACUCCUACGGGAGGCAGCAGUGGGGAAUCUUGCACAAUGGGCGAAAGCCUGAUGCAGCGACGCCGCGUGCGGGACGAAGGCCUUCGGGUUGUAAACCGCUUUCAGCAGGGACGAGGCGUAAGUGACGGUACCUGCAGAAGAAGCCCCGGCUAACUACGUGCCAGCAGCCGCGGUAAUACGUAGGGGGCAAGCGUUAUCCGGAUUCAUUGGGCGUAAAGCGCUCGUAGGCGGUCUGUUAGGUCGGGAGUUUAAUCCGGAGGCUCAACCUCCGUCCGCUCCCUAUACCUGCUGACUUGAGUUUGGGAGGGGAGGGGGGAAGCCUAGUGUUCGUUUCUCUCGCCAAAAUUCCUCCAACACCACA
rnacentral:rRNA from 1 species